AGAUGACCUGACAACACCUGUCUACAGUACAGUAUUGAGGCACACAGGACCUUGCAUAUAGAAGGGAAUAUUACAAAUACUGCAGAGACACAAGGAUUAGUUGUUUGUUUGUUUGAUGGAGUAACAUCCAGAAGAAAUGGUUAGUAACAUUUCUUUACUGCUUGAGUACAUUUUAUCAUCAGAUGGCUGAUCAUAUAAUUGGGUUUAUUCAAGUAUAUUUUUUCUGUAAAAUAUAAAGUGAAUAACUUAUCUAGUUUUAAUAACAGAAAAUCCAGGGAGCAGCAGCUUAAACUCUAAGAGCAUACACUGUUUACUUGAAGAGAGAGAAGGUGGUUCCAAGUGUUCUCCAAAGUCCCAUGAUGACAGGACGUGGGUCAGCAUCUCUACAGCUCUCCUCCUUCUCUCUCAUGGGUGCAAACUGGUUUCUCACAUCUCAACAUGCCAAGGCAGGAAGCUGGGAUACAAGGGCAAGGAGAGAGCUCUUCUCUUCUAUAGAGAAGGAAACAUCUUUCCCACAAGCCUAGCACCCUGCCCUUCACUCUCCAUGUGAUAGGACCACAGAGCCCCUCCCAGCUGCAGAAUGUUUGGGAAGAGGGUGCCUGGUUCUCUGGCCUCUGUAGCUGGAGAAAGUCACUGGAGAAGGACAUGGGAAUGGCCGAUGGGUAGCCAUUUCUAUCGUGAUACAGUCAAAUAACAGGACUUUUAAAUGGAAAGAAUUUCUUGAGAAUAGCAGAGCACACCACUAUGCUUGAAUAAAAAUGGUAACUGGAUUUCCUGAACUGUUAAAUUAAACAUGCAUUGCUGAUUUCCUCUUUCUGCAGCUGCUCUAACUAUCUGUCUCUUCUGUCUGUGGCUCAAGAUCCAUCAUCUUCAGAAUAUAAAAUCCUUCUUAUGAUUUUAUUUUCCCUUUGUUUGCUGGUCCGUCCUUGCUUGCCUUCAAUAUUUUUGGCUUUCUUCCCUUGCUUUGCUGGGAUGUGUGAUUUAUCCUAUCACUGGAGAGCUCUGUGAGAAAGCACUGGAUAUUUAUUCUCCUGCCUAUGUCAGAAGCUCCAGGCAGGGCUGCCACGUCCCACAACUUCAGGGGAGCCAUUCAUUUCCAUGUGUCUUGCACAGCCUGUGUGGCCACAAGUGGCAGCACUGAGUUUAGGCAACAGAGAAAUGGUUUCACUGGAAAAGAUAAUUCCCCUUUCCAAAAUAAAUCUAUUUUCAGCAUCAUCAUUC